rnacentral:rRNA from 1 species
GACGAACGCUGGCGGCGUGCUUAACACAUGCAAGUCGAACGGAAAGGCCCUGCUUUUGUGGGGUGCUCGAGUGGCGAACGGGUGAGUAACACGUGAGUAACCUGCCCUUGACUUUGGGAUAACUUCAGGAAACUGGGGCUAAUACCGGAUAGGAGCUCCUGCUGCAUGGUGGGGGUUGGAAAGUGUCGGCGGUUGGGGAUGGACUCGCGGCUUAUCAGCUUGUUGGUGGGGUAGUGGCUUACCAAGGCUUUGACGGGUAGCCGGCCUGAGAGGGUGACCGGCCACAUUGGGCCUGCGAUACGGCCCAGACUCCUACGGGAGGCAGCAGUGGGGAAUAUUGCACAAUGGGCGGAAGCCUGAUGCAGCAACGCCGCGUGCGGGAUGACGGCCUUCGGGUUGUAAACCGCUUUCGCCUGUGACGAAGCGUGAGUGACGGUAAUGGGUAAAGAAGCACCGGCUAACUACGUG